rnacentral:rRNA from 1 species
ACCGAUAGCGAACAAGUACCGUGAGGGAAAGAUGAAAAGAACUUUGAAAAGAGAGUUAAACAGUACGUGAAAUUGUUGAAAGGGAAACGAUUGAAGUCAGUCGUGCUGGCGCGAAAUCAACCCUCUCGUCGGGAGACCCAUGUUGUGGCGAGCUCAAAACCGCCACAGCAUGUGUCUCACGAUGAGGGGGAGCACUUUCGUGUCCGCUGGUUAACAUCAAUUUCGAACGUCAUAAA